UACGUAGGGCGCAAGCGUUGUCCGGAAUUAUUGGGCGUAAAGAGCUCGUAGGUGGCUUGUCGCGUCUGCCGUGAAAUCCCGUGGCUUAACUGCGGGUCUGCGGUGGAUACGGGCAGGCUAGAGGCUGGUAGGGGCAAGCGGAAUUCCUGGUGUAGCGGUGAAAUGCGCAGAUAUCAGGAGGAACACCGGUGGCGAAGGCGCCACUCUGGGCCGAAACUGACGCUGAGGAGCGAAAGCGUGGGUAGCAAACAGG
rnacentral:rRNA from 1 species